rnacentral:rRNA from 1 species
AUGAAUGCGCCAGAGCAUUUGUACCUAGCCCUAUUCAUGCUGGGAAGGGGUGUCCAAGUAUGUGCCUCUGAGUCAUACAUCUCUGCGGAGCUCAAUACAUUACGAGAAUAAUCAGCGCCUCCCACGACAUACGCCUUUUCGCCAACACUUGCUGAUCCAAACGAGAACCGCGGGGUGUUCAUCUCAUCCACUAGCCCUGUCCAUGAAUUGGUAAGGAUGCUAUAUCUCAUCCGCCAGCCCUCCCCAAACAGCAGAAGCUCGGUUCCUAUAGCCAGCGAAUCCCAGAUGACGUUUUGAGCAGGUGGCAUCUUGGGCACAUGGAUCCAGCGCCCAGUGGACGGGUCAUGA